rnacentral:lncRNA from 1 species
GCCAGACAGAGCUCUGGGCAUGUGUUUACAUGGCAAGGAUUCAGCCUGGCUUGUCCCCAACCAUAUUGCCAGGAUCUGCAUUUGUGGUAGAUGCCCAGUAAGACACCCAGUGAGUGAGUGAGCGAGCAAGCCAGCUUCUGUCCAUUGAUACCUCCUGAAAUAAAAGAUGUCUGCCACCCCAACUGUGGAAUGAGGCAAAUAGGCUCCAGAUAGCCCAGGGCCACAUAGUCUUCCUACCUCCUUGCUCCCUGUCUACCUCAGCUGCCUCUCUGUGCCCCACUUAGUGUCAUAAGGACCCUCCACACCUGUCACCUGCUGUGACACCUUUCUCCAUGUCACUUGGAUUCCUCAGGAAGACCUCCUGGAGACCCCAUCUGUCUUUUGGAUCUGCAUUCCCAGGGAUACAUCCAACCUUAGCCACACAUUCUGUCUCAUACCAUGAGGUCAGUCCAGGUGACUCUCCUCGUGUCCCCCAUGUCACUCCCUUCAGACGUGGAAGUUCAGUGAAUGAAAGGGUGAGUCAAACUUCACCCCCUCCCUUCCUUCCCCUUUCUCUAGCCAGCCCACCUAGCCCAACACUUACAGGCCACCUUCUCUGCUUGGCUCAGCUGGGUCCAGCUGCCCUUCUCUUUCUCCUUCAGGGCCCGCUGCUCCUCGCUGAGCUCUGUGCAGAAGGGCUCAUCCGGCAUGGGAUAGGAGCGCUGGGCGUAGCAGUCAACGUAGGGGGUCAUCCUCCUCUGGCUGCCAGCUGCAAUUACAAGGGAGGGAGCUGUGUCCAGGCUGCCCCAGAGUCACCCUCCUUUAAUCAUGAUUUUAAUUACAGGCAGGCAGUACAUUCCGUGUUCACCGUGUGCCAGCUGACGGCUUUCAGUCUUCCAUGUACCGGGGUUGUAAUGGAUCAACAAAUGGAAUCUUUGACAUUAUUCUCCUGAGCCUCAGGACAUUCCUCCUGCUAUCUGGCUGAAAUCUCUCCUGCUUUAGACCUCUUUCUUCUGACCAGUCCU